GUGCUCCAUUUGGCAGCGCGUAUACUGAAAUUGGAACGAUACAGAGAUUAGCAUGGCCCCAGGACACAUUUGUGAAGCGUUCUAUUAAAAA
rnacentral:snRNA from 1 species